ACAACAGGGAUUGCCCUAGUAACGGCGAGUGAAGCGGCAACAGCUCAAAUUUGAAAUCUGGCCUUUGGUCCGAGUUGUAAUUUGUAGAGGAUGCUUUUGGUGCGGUUCCUUCCGAGUUCCCUGGAACGGGACGCCUUAGAGGGUGAGAGCCCCGUACGGUUGGAUACCUAGCCUCUGUAAAGCUCCUUCGACGAGUCGAGUAGUUUGGGAAUGCUGCUCUAAAUGGGAGGUAAAUUUCUUCUAAAGCUAAAUACCGGCCAGAGACCGAUAGCGCACAAGUAGAGUGAUCGAAAGAUGAAAAGCACUUUGAAAAGAGGGUUAAAUAGCACGUGAAAUUGUUGAAAGGGAAGCGUUUAUGACCAGACUUUUUCUAGGCGGAUCAUCCGGUGUUCUCACCGGUGCACUUCGCCUAGUUUAGGCCAGCAUCGGUUUCCGUAGGGGGAUAAAAGCUUUAGGAAUGUGGCUCCUUCGGGAGUGUUAUAGCCUAUUGUAUAAUACCCUUCUGGGGACCGAGGUUCGCGCUCUGCAAGGAUGCUGGCGUAAUGGUCAUCAACGACCC
rnacentral:rRNA from 1 species